AAAGAGAGUUUGAUCCUGGCUCAGGAUGAACGCUAGUAGUAUGCUUUACACAUGCAAGUCGAACGGAAACAGAAUCUAACCGGUCAAAACAGGGUAAGGCCGUAAUACUGCUAAAAAAGUAUAAAUUUGGUUUUCGUGGCGAACGGGUGAGUAUUCGCAAAAUUUUUCCUUUCAAUUCAGAACAAAAAUUUGUGAAUUUAAAUACUGUAUGAAAGCUUUUCGCUUUUAAAGGUUAAUUCCGUUGAAAGAUAGAUUUGCAGAAGAUUAGGUUGUUGGUAAAUUAAAAGCUUACCAAGCCGACGAUCUUUAGUUGGUCUUAGAGGAUGAUCAACCACACUGGAACUGAAAUAAGGUCCAGGCUGACACGUCGGCCAGCAGUGAGGGAUAUUGGACAAUGAACGAAAGUUUGAUCCAGCAAUACUAACUGGGUGAUGGACGGCUUAUUUAAGUUGUAAGAUCCUAUGAUUAAAAAAGAUAAAUGACAUUAUUUAAUUGAAUUUUAGUCCUGGCUAAUACUCGUGCCAGCAGCCGCGGUAAUACGGGAAGGGCAAGCGUUAUCCGGCAUGACUGGGCGUAAAGAGUCCGUAGACUGCGAAGCAAGUUUUUUGUUAAAUUUUAAGACCUAAUCUUAAAUUUACAAUUAAUACUGUUUUGCUUUGAGUUUAAUGCAGAAAAGUGGAAUUUUAUACGAUAGGGGUAAAAUCCGUAGAUAUAUAAAGGAACGUCAAUAGCGAAGGCAACUUUUUGGCAUAAACUGACGUUGAGGGACGAAAGCGUGGGUAGCAAACAGGAUUAGAGACCCUGGUAGUCCACGCCGUAAAUUCUGAGUGCUGUAAUUUAAUUGUAAUAUUUUUUUAUUAUUUUAGAUUUUCAAGCUAACGCAAUAAGCACUCCGCCUGAGGAGUACGAUCGCAAGAUUGGAACUCAAAGGAAUUGACGGGGGUCUAACACUAGUGGUGGAGCAUGUGGUUUAAUGCGAUAAUCCGCGCAAAAUCUUACCAAUUCUUGACAUAUUAAAAUAAUUGUACAAAUUAAUAUUUUUGCAAUAAUAUUUUUUUACAGGUGUUGCACGACUGUCGUCAGCUCGUGUCGUGAGACGUCUGGUUAAGUCCUGAAACGGGCGCAACUCUUUCUUUUUACGAAGUUUUUACAGAUUAAAAGUUUAAUAUGAGAAUCUUUUAAACGCUUUAAAAGUACGGUCAACGAUAAGUUGAAGGAAGGUAAGAACGAAGUCAAGUCAAUGUGACCCUAAUGAAUUGGGCUACACAUGUGCUACAAUGAAAAUAUUACAAAAAGUGACAAAAAAGAAAUUUUGAGUUAACCAACAAAAAUUUUCCCAGUUCAGAUUGUAAACUGCAACUCGUUUACAUGAAGUUGGAAUCACUAGUAAUCGCAAAUCAGCACGUUGCGGUGAACAUGUAACUUGGCCUUGUACACACCGCCCGUCACAUGCGAAGAAUCAGUUUCGUUUUGAAGAUUUUAAUAAAAUCCAUUGAGAGAUUGAUAAUUUGGAUGAAGUCGUAACAAGGUAGCUGUACGGGAACGUGUAGCUGGA
rnacentral:rRNA from 1 species